AUUCGGUUGAUGAGUCCCGAAUAGGGUGAAACGCGCGUCCCGGAU
rnacentral:hammerhead_ribozyme from 1 species